GUUUGAUCCUGGCUCAGGAUGAACGCUGGCGGCGUGCUUAACACAUGCAAGUCGAACGGAACACCCUUGACUGAGGUUUCGGCCAAAUGAUAGGAAUGUUUAGUGGCGGACUGGUGAGUAACGCGUGAGGAACCUGCCUUUCAGAGGGGGACAACAGUUGGAAACGACUGCUAAUACCGCAUGACGCAUGACUGGGGCAUCCCGGACAUGCCAAAGAAAUAUCGCUGAAAGAUGGCCUCGCGUCUGAUUAGAUAGUAGGCGGGGUAACGGCCCACCUAGUCGACGAUCAGUAGCCGGACUGAGAGGUUGACCGGCCACAUUGGGACUGAGAUACGGCCCAGACUCCUACGGGAGGCAGCAGUGGGGAAUAUUGGGCAAUGGACGCAAGUCUGACCCAGCAACGCCGCGUGAAGGAAGAAGGCUUUCGGGUUGUAAACUUCUUUUGUCAGGGAAGAGGAGAAGACGGUACCUGACGAAUAAGCCACGGCUAACUACGUGCCAGCAGCCGCGGUAAUACGUAGGUGGCAAGCGUUAUCCGGAUUUACUGGGUGUAAAGGGAGCGUAGACGGAAGAGCAAGUCUGAUGUGAAAGGCUGGGGCUUAACCCCAGGACUGCAUUGGAAACUGUUUUUCUAGAGUGCCGGAGAGGUAAGCGGAAUUCCUAGUGUAGCGGUGAAAUGCGUAGAUAUUNGGAGGAACACCAGUGGCGAAGGCGGCUUACUGGACGGUAACUGACGUUGAGGCUCGAAAGCGUGGGGAGCAAACAGGAUUAGAUACCCUGG
rnacentral:rRNA from 1 species